rnacentral:pre_miRNA from 1 species
AGUCAUAGGGCAUGUCUCUAUUGGCAGGUGAUAUUUCAUUUGACUUAGAGGCUCUAGAAAUUCACUUGCCAAAGGAGAGCUGCCCUGCGAGU